rnacentral:rRNA from 1 species
UGCGUAGGGCGCAAGCGUUGUCCGGAAUUAUUGGGCGUAAAGAGCUCGUAGGCGGCUUGUCACGUCGAUUGUGAAAGCCCGAGGCUUAACCUCGGGUCUGCAGUCGAUACGGGCUAGCUAGAGUGUGGUAGGGGAGAUCGGAAUUCCUGGUGUAGCGGUGAAAUGCGCAGAUAUCAGGAGGAACACCGGUGGCGAAGGCGGAUCUCUGGGCCAUUACUGACGCUGAGGAGCGAAAGCGUGGGGAGCGAACAGG